CACGCCAGCCCUACACGCUCGUCCGGCUGAACUCAAUUUUGAGUCGCUUUAACUCAAAAUAAUAACUUCUUCAGAGACGUCAAACGCUGAGUAACUGAGAAUUAUUAUUUUGAGUUAGUUUGACUCAUUCUGUAUAAAUCGAAGCAGAACUAGAAAAUGAGUUCACAGUGAAAAUUUGAAGAAGUCCAACGGUCGCUGAUAAAACUUCACAACUAAAAUCAUAAAGCAACAAUCCAAAGUAACUGAAGUACAACUAUUCAGACAAGAUUGUAGUUUUGGGACUUUGGCGGCGCCCUCAUACACUACGUUAGAUAUCAGCAUCAGUGAUCGCUAUCUUAAGACACCCAGAUACUGUUCAAAUCCGAUAUAAAGGCUCAAAGGAGGUUUAGGAAGAGGUCCACGGUUAGAACCCUAACUAACGAUCUUUCAGCAGCCCACAGCA